UGGAAAGUUAAAAAACGUAACAAGGUUUCCGUAGGUGAACCUGCGGAAGGAUCAUUACAGAAUGAAAAGUGCUUAACUGCAUUUUUUCUUACACAUGUGUUUUUCUUUUUUUGAAAACUUUGCUUUGGUAGGCCUUCUAUAUGGGGCCUGCCAGAGAUUAAACUCAACCAAAUUUUAUUUAAUGUCAACCGAUUAUUUAAUAGUCAAAACUUUCAACAACGGAUCUCUUGGUUCUCGCAUCGAUGAAGAACGCAGCGAAAUGCGAUAAGUAAUAUGAAUUGCAGAUAUUCGUGAAUCAUCGAAUCUUUGAACGCACAUUGCGCCCUUUGGUAUUCCAAAGGGCAUGCCUGUUUGAGCGUCAUUUCUCCCUCAAACCCUCGGGUUUGGUGUUGAGCGAUACGCUGGGUUUGCUUGAAAGAAAGGCGGAGUAUAAACUAAUGGAUAGGUUUUUUCCACUCAUUGGUACAAACUCCAAAACUUCUUCCAAAUUCGACCUCAAAUCAGGUAGGACUACCCGCUGAACUUAAGCAUAUCAAAAGCCCGGAGGAA
rnacentral:rRNA from 1 species